AUUGAACGCUGGCGGCAUGCCUUACACAUGCAAGUCGAACGGUAGCGGGCCUUCGGGUGCCGACGAGUGGCGAACGGGUGAGUAAUACAUCGGAACGUGCCCGAUCGUGGGGGAUAACGAGGCGAAAGCUUUGCUAAUACCGCAUACGAUCUACGGAUGAAAGCAGGGGACCGCAAGGCCUUGCGCGGACGGAGCGGCCGAUGGCAGAUUAGGUAGUUGGUGGGAUAAAAGCUUACCAAGCCGACGAUCUGUAGCUGGUCUGAGAGGAUGAUCAGCGACACUGGGACUGAGACACGGCCCAGACUCCUACGGGAGGCAGCAGUGGGGAAUUUUGGACAAUGGGCGCAAGCCUGAUCCAGCCAUGCCGCGUGCAGGAUGAAGGCCUUCGGGUUGUAAACUGCUUUUGUACGGAACGAAAAGCCUUCUUUUAAUACAGGAGGGUCAUGACGGUACCGUAAGAAUAAGCACCGGCUAACUACGUG
rnacentral:rRNA from 1 species